UGGUAACAUGUUCAGCUUGGCAGUACUAAUAGGCCGAGGGCUUGACCAU
rnacentral:rRNA from 1 species